rnacentral:rRNA from 1 species
CCUACGGGUGGCAGCAGUGGGGAAUAUUGCACAAUGGGGGAAACCCUGAUGCAGCGACGCCGCGUGAAGGAAGAAGUAUUUCGGUAUGUAAACUUCUAUCUGCAGGGAAGAAAAUGACGGUACCUGUCUACGAAGCCCCGGCUAACUACGUGCCAGCAGCCGCAGUAAUACGUAGGGGGCAAGCGUUAUCCGGAUUUACGGGGUGUAAAGGGAGCGUAGGCGGUUUAGCAAGUCAGAAGUGAAAGGCCGGGGCGCAACUCCGGGACUGCUUUUGAAACUGUUGAACUAGAUUGCCGGAGAGGUAAGUGGAAUUCCUAGUGUAGCGGUGAAAUGCGUAGAUAUUAGGAGGAACACCAGUGGCGAAGGCGGCUUACUGGACUGUAAAUGACGCUGAGGCUCGAAAGCGUGGGGAGCAAACAGGAUUAGAUACCCGGGUAGUC